rnacentral:sRNA from 1 species
UUUAGAUGGGGAAACUGAGGCACAGGGAAUUAGACCAAAAUUUAUGCCAGGAUGUAUAAACAGGCAUGUUCAGUGUUCAUGUUUUUAAACGAGUACUAUAAACUGUCUUGUUCUGAGUAAUCCCAGGGGCAGAAGACGUAUUUCAGCUCUAGGUAAAGGAAGAGCUGUCACUUAGCUCCAUCUGUGAAUGGAGCCAAUGGCCUGCCUCAGGGGGUGGUGAAAGGUGUUCAGAGGAUUGAAAAUUGCUUGAAUGGAAGCCCCUUCUCUCUGGUUAACCAUCACAUCCCUAGCACGGUGCCUGACACUUACUGGGCCACAGUCAAUGCUUGCUGGAUAAACGGAUGAAGAGCCAGCCUAGACCACUGAUCCCUUCUGAUCUGCCCUCCUUGGAUUCUAGAGAGGCUGUCAUGUCCAGCGACUUUGCCAUCACCCGCUUUAAGCAUCUCAAGAAGUUGCUGCUCGUGCAUGGCCACUGGUGUUACUCACGCCUGGCCAGGAUGGUGGUGUACUACCUCUACAAGAACGUGGUAAGUAGCCU